GGGCGAUUAGCUCAGUGGUAGAGCACUCGCUUCACACGCGAGGGGUCACUGGUUCGAACCCAGUAUCGCCCACCA
rnacentral:tRNA from 1 species